UACAGAGGGUGCAAGCGUUAAUCGGAUUUACUGGGCGUAAAGGGCGCGUAGGUGGUUAGUUAAGUGAGAUGUGAAAGCCCUGGGCUUAACCUGGGAAUGGCAUCUUAUACUGGCUAGCUUGAGUACUGUAGAGGGUAGUGGAAUUUCCGGUGUAGCGGUGAAAUGCGUAGAGAUCGGAAGGAACACCAGUGGCGAAGGCGGCUACCUGGACAGAUACUGACACUGAGGCGCGAGAGCGUGGGGAGCAAACAGG
rnacentral:rRNA from 1 species